GAUAUAAUGUGACCGGUCUUAUGUUAACUUGGUUUUUGUUCACUUGCUAGAAUGUCAUAAAGUGAUAGCGUCAGUGUUUGGGAAUGAUUUAUACCUUGUGACUAAUUCAUUCUAAGUUUUUUUUCUUGUUUUUAAAAUUCAAAAUGAGCAAACUUGAAAGAGGAUGUAUAGAAAACACCUUGAUGCAAUCAGUGAUGAUGAAGUUUAGAGUGGUGUGUCAGAUGAUGAAAAUGCUGCA